GUUCUGAUGAAGAGUCCCAAAAUAGGACGAAGCAGCUGUCUGGCAAAAC
rnacentral:hammerhead_ribozyme from 1 species